GAAUAUUGGACAAUGGGCGAAAGCCUGAUCCAGCAAUGCCGCGUGAGCGAUGAAGGCCUUAGGGUUGUAAAGCUCUUUUACCAGGGAUGAUAAUGACAGUACCUGGAGAAUAAGCUCCGGCUAACUCCGUGCCAGCAGCCGCGGUAAUACGGAGGGAGCUAGCGUUGUUCGGAAUUACUGGGCGUAAAGCGUACGUAGGCGGUUACUCAAGUCAGAGGUGAAAGCCCGGGGCUCAACCCCGGAACUGCCUUUGAAACUAGGUAGCUAGAAUCUGGGAGAGGUCAGUGGAAUUCCGAGUGUAGAGGUGAAAUUCGUAGAUAUUCGGAAGAACACCAGUGGCGAAGGCGACUGACUGGACAAGUAUUGACGCUGAGGUACGAAAGCGUGGGGAGCAAACAG
rnacentral:rRNA from 1 species